CCAUGCCCAAUUCCCCAUCAGAUUUCCUUUUUGGAAUAAAAUUAAAAACCCUACACAAGAACCCCUCAUCUUCUUCAACCUGGGAAAACAUUGAAGAUCUAAAAACAUCUAAACUUCACUCAAAACACACAGCCGCCGACCAACUCCACCAUUCUUGCCGCCAGUGAACUCCUCCAAACGACCACCCCUUCAGCCAUCUCCUCACCUGUCGCAGCUUCACUCACACUACACUCACCCGUCUCUCUCACGCCAGAAAACAUACAUAAAACAGCUGCACCCGACCUCAACACCCAAGGACUGCCCUCUCUCUGAAUAAGAUUUUAUAGAUAAAAAAAGAAAAAGAAAAACCUAGGGCCUAAUCUAGACGAAGAGCAGCGACAAUUCCUUCAGCUUAACCUCUAAGUCAUAGCCGUUUCCACCUUCUUCUCCUUUACAAAAAGAAGCAACCAUCCUCACCAACAACACCACCAAGGUUCCGACUCACCCCAGCUCCAAAACACAAAGCCAGCAACACCAAAAACACACAGAGGACGAAACUCGAUCUGGUCGGUCCUGAGUUUGAGUUGAAAAGGUCUGUCAAAGAGAUUCGCGGUCCGAGCUGCUACUACUGUUGCACUUUUGGGUCAGAUUUGGUUUUUCGGGAUUUGCUGUGACUAAAGUCACGUUUAAUACGAAGAAAUCUUUGAUGAGGUUCAAUUUUCUCUUAUCUCAUAUGUGCUUUGAUCUUUUCAUUAUUUUGUUUAUGGUUUUGGAAAGUUUCAUGUCCUGUUUUGUGUUUUAAUUUGCUUCCUUGAUUCACUGUAGUCUUUUGCAUUACUGUUAAUUUCGUAUUGGACUAGUUUGAAUUAAUUGGGUUAAACUUGAAGUGCAUCAAGAAUAUUAAGGCAAAUAAGUCACAAUUUGAUAAAAUGAAAAAAAUUGAAUUUUGUCAAGGGGUUGGUUUAAUACAAGCAUGGACUUUGUAAAGGCUUACUGGACCGACUGGGAGGGGAAUUAUAAAAUUUGAGCUUGGAUCAAUUUUCUUAGUUCUUUUUCUUGCUUUGUUGCUUUUAAUCGUUAGGAGCAUGUUUAGGCCGUUAAUAUUCGGGUAGGCAAACUCGAGGAUUUUGUUUGUUUAAUUUUGAGGUAAGAGGUCAUUUCCUUAAUUAAAUUUAUCUGGGUAAUGCCCCAAAGGAUUUGUAUAUAUUUUUAUCUGGGGUAUGACCCGUAGUAUCAUGUAUUUGGAGGUCAUGACGAACCUUGGGGAAAAGUAUAGUAUAUAUUAGUGUUUUGGACUUUAUUUUAAUUUUCUUUUCUAUUUUCUUUUAUUAGGUGGGGACGACCUCGAGCCUCUUGUGUGUUUAUUUCGUUUUGUGUAUUUUUGCCUCAAUUAGAAUAUCCUAUAAAACCGACUAGAUCAAGUAUGCAACCGUACUAGUUACGGGACUUGGGGAGUGCCUAACACCUUCUCCCCGAGUCAAAUGAACCCCUUACCCAAAUCUCUGGUGCAGACUUAGUUUUGGAGUCUAAAGUGUUUCAAAAGCAAAAUCAUUUUAAAAAAAACGGUGACCUGACACACCGAAAUCAAAUUUCAAGUGGCGACUCUGAGUUAUUUCCUUUUGAACACAAUUUUUGUCACGUUCUAAUUGGAAAACCUAUUUCAAGCUUUACAAAUCUUUUUAUUAAUUUAAGAGGGUUAGUGAAGUUUUGGUUAAAAAUGGAGUGUGACAAUAGUGGCCUGGUGAAAAACUUGGCGAGUAUGGGUCUUGUUAGCACAACUAUUGUGAAGCCACUUCUUGAGACAUUGUACCGGUGUGGGAUGCAAAAGUUAGUAGAUGAUAGUGCCACUUCAUUCCAUGGAAAGCAAAAGGAAUGAAGCGUCAUACCAGGUUGAAGUUAAGAGAGAUGAGCAGCAGUGUAAAGCCCACAUAUCUUCUGAUACGGGAAGAAUUUGGUUCCCUUCUCUCAUUGUUCCGAGCCAACAACAACAACAACAACAACAACAACAACAACAAUAACAACAACUCAUUAUAAUCUCACUUAAUGGGAAAAAGCUUUGAAAAAGAGCCAUGACAUAACUAAUAAAGUUGCUUCCAUAUGACCUUGUGGUCACUGGUUUGAACCAUGAAAAUAGGUGAUUAGAAGAGGAUAUAGAGAAGGGAAAGUGCUAAAAGUUGUUGAAGAAAGAAUGAGUGUAGUUUUUGUUUAAGUAACCCCUUAUUUAUAGAAAAACAAUGACGAAACUAACGGGCAUUCAAUGCUUUUGGGAAAAUGGACCAGCGGUACAUUCAGUGCUUCUGGGGAAUGAACCGACGGGACGUUUCGAUCACUUCGAAUGCCUACGCCACGAGCAUGACAUCAUCAUGAGAGGUUCGAGAAAAUCAAGGUCAAACGUUUCAUAUCAUUCUAUUCUAAGAAAUGCGGGGACUAUCUGUAUAUGGUCAAAAUCGAGGAGUAUGAUUUUGAAGGUUUAAAUCGGGCCAUAGGCCCAAGUCCGAGACUCGAAAUGGGUGUCGUAUCCGACUAAGAGACAUCUACCUCAGGAAAGCUGAUCGAGUGCCUGGCACGGACUGCAUCAAGGGGUAGCAUUAUCUCGAAAUCAAUCAAGAAAGAGCGGGAAUUUCUCAAGGACACGUGGAUCUGGACAUUAAUUAUAGGAUAAGGGUUGUACGAAGUGGUACAGGUUCGUACUAGGCCGUUAUACACCUGUACCAAUAGAAUUCUUUACCUUUGUGAGCAAGGUACUACUUAGGGGUUUUCUCCUCCUAUAUAAAGGAGACCCCAAUCAUUUUGGUAAGGCAUCAGACCAUUCACUACAAUAGAACAUUUUUAUUCUUCUCUUGUUUAGCGUGCUCUCCAAUUAUUCUUCAGCUUUAUUGUCUUUACUUUAUUGUUCAUACUUUAUUACUCUUAGUUGACCUCGAGGUCCCUGAAUUGUCGAGCUCGAGGCCCACUAUUGUUCCAACAACACUGAUUUGGUUCAUUAUUUCUUCUUACUUAAGCUCAAUAUUACUUGUAUAAUCGCUAGUAUUAGAAUAUAUCACGUAUCUUUAAAACCACAAAAUAUCUUUAAUUGUUACUCACAUCUUUCGAGGUAAACAGAAAUAUAAGUCUUAUGUUUUAUUUUUUUUGUUUUUUUGUGCUACGAUUACAUAAGGGCGAAUUAUAUCAUUCGUCUCUCGUAUAAUGUAUUGCAAAUCGGUGAUAAGAAAGAGAAUCCUACGAAAGGUGAAAAGAAGCAUAUUUUCAUUUUUCUCUAGGUUGUUGACGCAAGCUGCUGAUAGUCACCUUUUAUGACAUCAAUUAAUGAGAAUCUUUUGUUGUGGUAUGAUUGAAUGAUUAUAUAUAUAGCCAUCUAUGCAAAUAAUCAAACGGAUGAUAAUUUCACGAACUCAACAUUUUCAUCUUCUCCGUUAUGUUUUUGCCUAAUUGAGAAAUUAUUUUAUGAUAUUUUUUAGUGUUUGAGUGAUAUAUAGUCAAUAUUUUCUAGGUACUAAAGAUUUAUCACUUAUAAUAAUAUCUAUGUAAUUAGUUUUUAUAGAGAAGCCUUGAAAUAUUUGUAAAUGAAAUUGACUUCCAUCCAUACGUGCGAGAGAAAUCAUUUUUUGCAGGAAAAUAUUUUCCUUAAAACCAUAAUAUUUUUUAGAAUUCAAAGUAAACAAAAAUAUUGAAAUUUAUUUCCAAGAAAAAGAUUUUUGCUUGCCAUAUCAACGAUCUGAUUCUGGUAAUGGUUCUUAGCCUAUUCCAAAUAUUUAAGAAAAAACACAUGCAAUAUACUGAAACAUUUUGCCUAGAAGACACCUUUUGCUUUAUCAACGGUUUCAUAAACAGAAUCUUAUCUAUUCCAAAGAUAUGUCGUGAUUCUUUUAUAUUUGAUAUUUUAUCCACAAGUUCAACUUUAUGAAGAUCCUUUAGAACAUUUGAACACAGAAUAAAUUGUUAUCUUUUUACUUUUUGGGGGGGUGAGGGGUGGGGGGGGGGGAUAAUUAAAGUUGGAGGUUAACGAAGAUAAAAAGCUAGUGCAAUGUGGCGAUUUUUUAUGGAAAAAGGGUCAGAUUAGUCCUUUUACUUUCAAAAAUUAUUCAUAUACUAUGUGAACAGAUAUACCUCUACCGUUAGCAAAGUUUCAGUUUUUGCCCCUAACCCUAGUGGAAACACCUAAUCCACCAAAUCAAUCUUUUAUUUAUUUUCUAUAUUUAAUUUAUCAUAAAAUCAAAGAACUAAGUAAAUCUAUUAAAUUGGAGUCCAAUUUAAUGUUUAGUAGUUUAAAAUUUCUUCAACCACGGAAUUAGAAUAAAUGUAAAAAUGCUGAUUUGGAAUUUAAGCAAAGAAAAGACUCAAAUUUACAGAGUUUGCUUAUUUCUUUGAUAUUCUGAUAAAUAUAAAAAAUAAAUAAAAUAUUGAUUUGAUGGACCAGGGGUUUCCAUUUGAUAAAUUUGUUCUCAUAGAAUAACGGAUGUUAAAUAUAAAUAAUUUUUGAAAGUAAAGAAGUAAAUCUAACGCUUUUCAUCCACAGUUCUAAUAUUUAUAUGUAUAUACUUCCUUUUUUCUUUGACACUGCAGCAGCGGUUAAAGAUUAGAUGCUAUAUCGAUUGGUGUCUUUUCAGGAAUCUGAUUCUUC
rnacentral:lncRNA from 1 species